AAUUUUUUUUCUUAGUUUAUAGAUUUGAUUAUGGUCAUUGUAAUGAUAAAAUGGUGUUAUAUAAUUUUUAAUCACUUGAGUGGACAAUGUUUUUCUAUCCCGGCAAUGUAUUGCUUGUAUAAACUCAGUACCAGAAUAAUCGGAUAGACUGAGUAAGCUUAUACCCUAAAUGUGUUUUGGCCAUGGUUUUUUUUUGAUUUUUUUACAACUGUUUAGUGCAAUGUGCAGUUUUUUUUUGUUGUUUUAUCUUGGUCAAUAAGAUUAGACAAAUGACCUGGAUUAGUACCCAGUUAAUCUAAAUUUAAAAGUUGCAGGAGUAAAGUAAUAUUUAAACUGUAAUAAUAUUGGCGGAUUUUUUAAUUAUCUUUGGAGGUUGAGCUGUAAUUGAGAACCCUCAUUAUCAGCUUUGAUUUUUGUCGCAUGUAUGAUCGUUUAUGUCCUUCUUAAAGAGGUGCAUUAAAGAUUAUUUGGUGUUUAAUCAAUGAUAUCUAUUAAAACAGAUAAAUACCUGGUAUAUAUCAAAGUUUUCGUUUGACCUACAAUAUCUUAUGUUUCGGAUAAGGAGGAGAGAUUCUUCUUUGAAGUUGUAAAAGACAGUAAAUGCUUUUUAAUGUAGCAUUGAAGUAUUUAGAGAAAUCGUACAAAUCAUCCAUCAAUUGCCCACAGGGGAGUAAGUUGUAGUAAAGUAGGUGUAGGGGAAUCUGUACCUAGUUUAAGUUGGUUAUAUUUUAAUAAUUUGGUUUUUUUCCAAGUGUUUUUUCCUUCUUU
rnacentral:ncRNA from 1 species